rnacentral:tRNA from 1 species
UCCUAGGUAGCUCAGUGGUAAAGCAUCUACCUUCCAAGUAGGAGACUUGGGUUCAAUCCCUGGAUUGAGAA